UUGAAGAUAUGAAAUUGAGAGUGUUUAUUUUUAAGUGAUGUUUGGGAAAGAUCACAUAAAUGAUAUGAGUUUCCAAACAAGGCCUUAUUCAAUUUCCCAUUUUCCUCUUUUAAUUUGUCUAGAUUGCAAGAGAGAGAUGAGAUUGAUUAUGAUUACAUCGCCAUAUAUAUACAUAUAUAUAUAUAUAUAUAUAUAAGAAUUAUCAACAAGCUAGUUGAGGUGCUUCUUAACCUUGUAGAAGUGAUCAUGUACUCAUCAUCCGAUUCUCCUUUGGACAUGGUCGAUGUUAUAAUCUUGCAGCUUUUCAUUCCAAUAUCAUGCGUUUACAUGGCUGCAGCAGAGGUGAUAACCCAUGUUCCAAAUUAACACGAGCUACAAUCAAGACUCAUGUCAUUGGACCCAUUGAUCAUUUACGUUUGAGGUGCCCUAACUCGAACCCUACUACUAUUAAUCCUUUUUCCAACUAGUACUGAUCCAGAAGCAAUAUGAAACGUUUGAUCUACACAAAGCAUUUCCAUAUAUAAAUUGUUAUAUGUGAAAGUGAAUCACCUGAUCUCCACAACCCGUGGUAGCCAAAGUAAGCGAACCCACCCAUUUCCAUUGCCUAAGGUUAGUUUGGGUAGUUUUAUUAUUACUUUUCACUUACUUUUUAGUAUUAUUCACUACUAUUUAAUAUUCUAUCAUU